GCUCAGGACGAACGCUGGCGGCGCGCCUAAUGCAUGCAAGUCGAACGAUCCCUUGGCCUUCGGGCCUUGGGAUAGUGGCGAACGGCUGAGUAACGCGUAAGCAACCUACCCCUGAGUGGGGAAUAGCCCGCCGAAAGGUGGAUUAAUACCGCAUGCGAUGGCCGACCGCAUGGUUGGUCAUGAAAGCUCCGGCUUGCCGGGGCGCUCGGGGAGGGGCUUGCGUCCUAUCAGGUAGUUGGUGGGGUAGUGGCCUACCAAGCCAUAGACGGGUAGCUGGUCUGAGAGGACGGUCAGCCAGAGGGGGACUGAGACACGGCCCCCACUCCUACGGGAGGCAGCAGCAGGGAAUCUUGCGCAAUGGGCGAAAGCCUGACGCAGCGACGCCGCGUGGGGGAAGAAUGCCUUCGGGUUGUAAACCCCUUUUCUGGGGGAAGAGAAUGGACGGUACCCCAGGAAUAAGCCCCGGCUAACUACGUGCCAGCAGCCGCGGUAAUACGUAGGGGGCGAGCGUUGUCCGGAUUUACUGGGCGUAAAGGGCGUGUAGGCGGUUCAGGUAGUCCCUAGUGAAAUCUCCCAGCUCAACUGGGAUAGGUCUAAGGAUACUCCUGGACUUGAGGGCAGUAGAGGAGAGCGGAAUUCCCGGUGGAGUGGUGAAAUGCGUAGAUAUCGGGAGGAACACCCGUGGCGAAGGCGGCUCUCUGGGCUGUACCUGACGCUGAGGCGCGAAAGCGUGGGGAGCAAACCGGAUUAGAUACCCGGGUAGUCCACGCUGUAAACGAUGGAUGCUGGGUAUGGGGGGUAUCGACCCCCUCCGUGCCGAAGCUUACGCGUUAAGCAUCCCGCCUGGGGACUACGGCCGCAAGGCUAAAACU
rnacentral:rRNA from 1 species